rnacentral:misc_RNA from 1 species
GAGAAAUCUUCAUACUGACGAACUUUAUCGAUCAUCAAAUAUAAUCGCUGGUAGGCUUUGCUUGUGAGUAUAAGGUGGUAGCUGAACCAGUAGCAAUAUUUUCUUGAGAUUUAUGGUUGAAUGGCUGUUACCUCGGAAGAACUUAAUCAAGAGAACCCAACCGACAGAUUUCCUUUGCUCAUGGAGCAAGCAGAAAGUCGUGAGAGGAAUGAACAUGUUAUUGAUGUAGAACAAGGAAGUAGCCCCUCAUCAUCAGGCUCAUCUGAUAAUGAUUCUCCUCAUGAAUUGGAAAUACCCAACCAUG